rnacentral:lncRNA from 1 species
UCAUUCAUGUUCAAACAAGUCUCAUUUGACAUUUCAAACAUCAACAUUGAAGAAUUUGAAGUCAGAUCAAGACUUUCCAAAAAUAGCAGGUGACAUUCAUGUUCAAACAAGUCUCAUUUGACAUUUCAAACAUCAACAUUGAAGAAUUUGAAGUCAGAUCAAGACUUUCCAAAAAUAGCAGGUGACCUGUAAUUUGAACUUUCCAAAAAUG